GCUGGGUGUGGUGGUGUGCACCUGUUAUCCCAACUACUUAGGAGGCUGAGACAAGAGAAUUGCUUGAGCCCAGGAAUUCAAGGCUGCAGUGAGCUAUGGAUCGCACCACUGCACUCCAGCCUGGGCAACAGAGCAAGACCCUGUCUCAA
rfam:Homo sapiens chromosome 1 genomic contig, GRCh38 reference assembly alternate locus group ALT_REF_LOCI_1.